rnacentral:tRNA from 1 species
UAAAGCAAGGCACUGAAAAUGCCUAGAUGAGUUCCCUCACUCCAUAAACA